rnacentral:lncRNA from 1 species
CUGUAUACCCAAUGGCAACAACGCCGAUGAUUCCACCCGCGGCGGCGAACCCAGCGUUAGAUGGCGGCGCGCCUCCGCCACCGCAGAUGGUGGCUCCACCUCCUCCGGGUACAGACAUGACCGGAAUCUGUUUCCGCGAUCAGCUGUGGCUCAACACUUACCCACUUGACCGAAACCUAGUUUUUGAUUACUUCGCUCUCUCCCCAUUCUACGAUUACUCGUGCAAUAACGAGCAGCUUCGUCUCCGCGCAACUCACCCCCUCGAUCUCUCCCACCUCUCGUAAGUGCCGCUUUUUGUUCGACCUAAUUUGAUCGUUUAUUUUCAAUUUGGGUAUAAUUAUCCGAUAGUUAAUUUUGAUUUUUUAAGGUUCAAUUUGGAGUGUAUGUGUACACAUAAACACAGUGAAAUUGGAUUUAUUAAUGAAGUAGUCUAAAUUGAAUUUGUAAAAAAAUUGAAGCUUGAUGUUAUUCAAUGGGUAUAUUUUCUGCAUGAAGGAAGAUGACCGGAAUAGAGUACUCGUUGAGUGAAGUGUUGGAGCCGCAUUUGUUCGUAUUCAGAAAGCAAAAACGGGAUGGCCCCGAGAAAGUGACACCUAUGCUAACUUACUACGUCUUGGAUGGAUCAAUAUACCAAGCCCCCCAGCUUUGCAACGUAUUUGCGUCUCGAGUUGUUAGUAUCCCCUUCACCUACCGUUGUUCGUUUUUUUUUUUUUUAAUUUAAACUGUGUGAUGACAUUAAGCACGUAUUUCGUAGUUUUCGGAUUAUUUGGUUGAAAUUUUGCAUCUACAGAUACAGUUGCUGCAAGAUGAUAUUUUGUUUGGUGUAUUCGUUAUUGUAGUUCCUUCCGGGUUUUUUAUCCCUUAAGCGCUGUAUGGACUUCAAAUUGUGUGAUUCGUGUAUGUGUAUAUAUAUUAUUGUCUGAAACGAGUCUAACUAGUAACUACUUCAGCUGGUCUGUAUGUAUUCGGUGUUGCUAAUGCUUCUUUUUGGCCUAUCGUAAAGUUCGUUGAAGUUCCUAGAUGGUGGUUUUUCCCGAUUCUCAUGUUUGUGAUAAUCGAAAUGAGAUAAACGAUAAGUGAUAACUGUGAGUGUAUAUUCAAUAAGGUAGCAUUGUUUUAUCUGACAAGUAUUUAUGGUGAUGAUUCAUGCUUUCCGUUUCUGCUCCAGAUAAUUGAAUAUCCUUAUUUUCUCCGAUCUUUUGUUCGUUUUCUGAUUAGAUGGAAGUUCGUCAUAAGAUUAUCAGUAAUAAGUGUAUUUACACCUUAUAUAUCGUCAAAACUCAGGUGUUCUAAUGUAACGCUUUAUCCUCUUUUGACAGGGACGCGCGUUGUACCAUAUAUCCAAGGCUUUUAAUACUGCAGCUUCAAAGUUGGAGAAAAUCGGAUAUGGUAUAUUCCAAUUUUAGUAAAUUAUUUACCUUUUUUCUCCUUUGACCUAAGUGAUGUGCGCAGUGCGCCUACACGAGUACGUACGAUUAAUUAAGAAAAUGAGUUGGUGCUUGAUAUACGAUUGCAUAACAAUCUACUUGUGCUAUAUUAUCUUGCAGCACAUCUAACUAAUCGAAGCUCAAGCUUCCAUAAAUUUUUUAGCUUGUAAUUUCUCGUGUUCUUCUGGCACAGUUGACGCCGAAAACGAGAGUACAUCCUCUGAACCAAAAGCUGCUAAAGAGACCAUCGACUUUAAAGAACUUAAACGUGUAGACCAUAUUCUUGCUUCUCUGCAACGCAAGGUAGAACAAAUCUCUUUCUUCACCGAAUGUAAUCGGUUAUUUGUUACGUAAAAUUAGACCCAUCUCCGUUUUUCUGGCAUCGGUGACAUAGAUAUGCAUGUGGAGCUUAUAUUAGUUAUUAGUACCGUGUCAUUAUAUCUCGCAUUUGAGAAUUAUUUACGGAGUUCAAUUUCUAAUAAAUGUUGUAAUAUUGCUCAGCUUCCACCCGCCCCACCUCCACCGCCCUUUCCCGAUGGCUAUGCCCCUCUCAGUACAGAAGGAGAGAAAAGCUCCGAUAGCCAGUCAGCAGAGCCGUUGCCACCUGUCGAUCCAAUCAUUGAUCAAGGCCCUUCCAAAAGGAUAAAAUUUUCAGCAUGACAUCGUCUUCUUUGAGAAACCGGUAACUUCUGACUUGUGAUCUUCAUCCGGGAAGCUUAUAUAACUAGGAUAUUCUGAAGUUGAGCAUUGUAAACAUUAUGAACCGAAACGAAAUCGAAGCUGUAGUGCGAAUUCGAGCUACGUUUGCUAGGUGCUAAGUGCUAAAUAUCAUAAAUUUGGUUCCCGGUUUUAUAUUUAUGGAAUUGUAUUUGAUUUACCACCCAAUUUCUUGAACGGUGCUGCUUCUGAAAUCUGAACUAUAAAUUCUUUGAUGGUUAAUCCAAUUCACAAUCCACAGACCAUAAUUUUAUAUUUAAUCCCAAAUAUAUACAAUCAUUAUUUUAAUAAUAAAAAAAUUCCACACAAUUUUUAAUUUAUUUUUUUGUCAAAUUAAAAUGAAAAUAAGCUCCAAAAUACUUUAAAAUAUUGCAUAGCAAUGAGGAAACUAUCUAAAAAACAAUUGAAAUAUUUUUUAAAAUUCUACUAGGGCAAUAUAAAAUAGGGUAAAUUACAACUACCACCUGAGGUCUGAUCAAACUACGAAAAAACUCCUUCAUAUUUGAAUAAUUAUUCAAAUGGGAUAAAAUGAAUCCAAAAUUGAAAAGAUUCCAUGUAAGCUAGAAAAUUCUACUAAAUUUGAAACUGCAAGGAUGGACGUAUAACAAAAUUUAUAAUUAAGAGGUGAUUGUAAUUAUCCAAACAAGAGAGAGUUUUUAUAAUUUGAUCAUAACUAAAGUGGUUGCAAUUUACCCUAUAAAAUAUGAUUUAUGGUUAUUAGUUGUCCGUAUAAUGCCAAUAAAACAAGUUCCAAUUUCCAAUUCCACUUGCACCUAAACUAAUUAAUAUUGAUGGGGGUACGAUGAGAGGUUGUCGUGGCACAAUUGAUCAUCGCUAGUGACACUGAUACAUCACUAUUUUGCUUUCUGUUAAGCAUUUUUAUUGAAUUUAGUGUCGAAUAUAUUGGGAAUUGGACUAAACUCGAUUGUCUAAAAAACAAUAUCAUUUCUUCACAUGUCUGAUUUUUUUUUUUCUGCAACUAUUAGCUGUACUACUAUUGCAUUAUUAAAUUCGGAAUAUAAAAAUAAAUAGAAAUAAUGCAAUACGACAAAAUUAAUAAUGAUAAAAUUUAUCCAGUUUAAUCCAUCCUUGACUGUAAUCCACGUCAGCGGGUCCCACCCUCGAACAACGUAAUUCAGAAGGAAUAUGGUAUCCAACGCAAGUCUGAGUCGACGUGGGACCCACACAAUAAAAACAAUAAAUAAAUAAAUAAAAAUCCGCCGCUGCAUGAGUAGGUUUUUCUCCCUCCUUUUUUUUUUUUUACGUUAACCAUUUUAGUUGAAUUUAAUAGUAUUUUUAAUAAUAAUAAUAAAAUAAAAAAUAAAGAUGUAAAAGAAAGAGUGAAAGAUUUUCAGGGAAGGACUUGUUUGCUCCGAAUUCACAGGGAAGGACUCUCCGGCAAUUAUAAAUAAUGCCCUUUCUUUAACCUUUUUCUCACAAUGCAAUUAAUUGUCUUGCAUUCUUUUCCUCUCUUCAAUUCCUCAUAUUUUUAUUAAUCUUGAAUAUUAAUUCAGGAUGACUAUUCUCAUUCAUCAGCCUGACUUUGGUAAUUUUCUUUCUUUUUUUUUUUUUUUAAUUAUUUUUUCCUCAUAAGUAAUUCUUGAUCCUCUCUCUCUCUAUAUGUAUAUAUAUACUUUUUUAAUUAAAUUAAGCAAAAUAAUUGCAGUUUGAUUUUAAUGAUUAUUUCUCUUCAGUCUUCAGAUCCAUGGUUUCUUUGAUUAUUUUCUCUAUAUUUGAAGUUUAUCCCUUUUUUCAAUUGUUUUUUUCUGAAUAUUGGUAAUUUUGCGAAAUUUAUUUAUUUAAAAUUAUUUAGAAUAUCUGUUUAAUUUAUUACUAGUAUUUCACCCGUGCGUUGCACGGAGGUCAGUUUCAAAAUGAGAAAAUUAAACUUAUGUAUAAACGACUGUCUCUUUAUAACAAUACCAAUUCAAGUAAAACAAAAUGGAAGGAAAUAAAAAAACAUAAACUUUAUCUCUUAAUUUAGAGUUGUAACAUAUGAAAUUAAGUAAAAUAUUACAAAUAAAAGAACAUGAAGCGCGCAAAACACGAUAUCAAGAUUAAGUGAAAUCGUUUAAAACAUAUGGUAUAACUCUAUUUCUUGGAUUGCAAUCUACUACACCAUGUGAAUCUUCUACAAAAUAACUGAGGUAACAACAAACACGGUAGGAGAGAAGUAACACAAUAGAUAUUCAAAUAACUUGCAAGUUUAUCACUAAUGGCGUUUAAUUAGUGAUGCAGAUUACUCAAACAACAAUAAAAAUUAUAAAUAAAGAGAUAUGAUGUAUACGCCACUACCAGUACCGAUACCAAUGUUGAUACCAAUACUGAUACCAAUACUGUUACCAAUAGUGAUACUAAUUCGAUUAAUACUAAUACUAAUAUUAAUACUUAUACUAACACUAAUACUAAUACUAAUACUAAUACUAAUACUAAUACUAAUACUAAUACUAACACUAAUACUAAUACUAAUACUAAUAUUAACACUAAUACUAAUACUAAUACUAAUGUUAAUACCAAUAGUGAUACUAAUACUAAUAUUGGUAAUAAUACUGGUACUAAUAUUAAUAUUAAUACUAACACUAAUACUAAUACUAAUAAUACUAAUAACCAUACUAAUACUGAUACUAAUACAAAUAUUAAUAAUAAUACUGAUACUAAUAAUAAUCCUGAUACUAAUACUAAUACUAAUACUCAUACUCGUACCAAUACUAAUACUAAUACUAAUACUAAUAGUAAAACUAAUACUAAUACUAAUAUUCAUAUUGAUACUAAUAGUAAUACUAAGAAUAAGACUAAUAUUGAUACUAAUACCAAUAAUAAUAUUGAUACUUACAUUGAUAAUUAUAGUGAUACUAAUACUAAUACUAAUACUAAUACUAAUACUAAUACUAAUACUAAUACUAAUAUUGAUACUAAUACUAAUAUUGAUACUAAUACUAAUACUAAUACCGCUACUAAUACUUAUAUUAAUACUAAUUCUGAUACUAAUAAUAAUACCCAUAGUCACACCAAUAAAAAAAAACACUAAUAAUAAUACUAAUACUAAUAUUCAUAUUGAUACUAAUGCUAAUACUAAUACUAAAAAUAAUACUAAUACUAAGAAUAAUGGUAAUAUUGAUACUAAUACAAUAACACUGAUACUUACAUUUAUAAUGAUAGUUAUAUUGAUACUGAUAUUAAUACUAAUACUAAUACUAUUACGAAGAAUAAGACUAAUACUGAUACUAAUGCUAAUAAUAAUACUGAUACUUAUAGUGAUGGUAGUAGUGAUAUUGAUACUAAUAUUCAUACUAAUUGUAAUACUAAUACUAAUACUAAUACUGAUACUGAUACUAAUAACAAUAAUAAUUCUGAUACUGAUACUAAUACUUAUACUCAUGCUGAUACUCAUAGUAAUAUUAUAUUAAUACUGAUAUUGAUAUUGACACUAAUACUAUACUCAUAGCAAUAUUAAUAUUAAUACUAAAACUAAUACUAAUACUUAUAUUGAUAAUGAUAAUGAUACUAAUACCGAUACUCAUAUUGAUACUCAUAGUAAUACUAAUACUAAUAUUGAUACUCAUACUGAUACUCAUACUAAUAUUGAUACUUAUACUCAUACUGAUACUCACAAUCAUACUGAUACUCGUACUAAUAUUGAUACUAAUAUUGAUAUUGAUAUUGAUACUAAUACUGAUACUGAUACUGCUACUAAUACUGAUACUAAUAUCGAUAUUGAUAUUGAUAUUGAUAUUGAUAUUGAUACUCAUACUCAUAUUGAUACUGACAUUGAUACAAAUGUUGAUACAUAUACUGAUACUGAUACGGAUACGAAUACUGAAACUAAAACAGAAACUGAUACUGAUAUUGAUAGUGAUACUGAUAAUGAUACUGAUAUUGAUACUACUGAUACUGAUACUGAUACCGAUACCGAUACCGAUGUCGAUACCGACACUGAUGCCGAUACUAAUGCCGAUACCAAUAUUGAUAUUGAUACUGAUAUUUAGACUAAUAUUAAUAUUAAUAAUAAUACUAAUAUUAAUACUAAUAUUAACACUAAUAUUAAUACUAAUAUUAAUACUAAUAUUAAUACUAAUACUAUUAAUAAUACUAUUACUAAUACUAUUAUUAAUACUAAUACUAAUACUAAUAUUAAUAUUAUUUCUAAUACUAAUAUGUUAAUAUUGUUAAUGUAAAUGCUAAUGUACAUAUUCUAAUGCUAAUACUAAUUUUAAUGUUAAUAUUAAUCUGGAUAUGCUUAUAUGUUGAUUAUAAUUGUAAUACUAAUAUUAUCCAAAUCCUUAUCCUAUUCCUAAUCUUAUUCAUAACACUAAUCAUGAUUCUAAUCCUUAUCAUAAUUAUAAUCCUAAACCUAUUUCUAACAUUAAUUAUAAUCCUAAUAAUUUUACUACUAAUAAUAGUAAUGUUAAUGCUAAUGUUAAUUCUAAUUAUAAUUCUAAUUUUAAUUCUAACCAUAAUCCUAAUUAUAAUGCUAAUCAUAAUCAUAAUACUAAGAGCCUGUUUGGCUAAGCUUAUAAGCUCCUAAAAACAUCUUAUAAGAUGUUUAAGAGCUUAUAAGCUCUUAAAAAGUGUUUGGUAAAAAAAUUCGAAAAGAUCUUAUUUUUUCAAAAAAUAAGCUGUUAGGGAGCUUAUAAGAUGUUUUUAAAAAAGUACCUCCACCCCACCUUUUUUCAAUAAGAUCUUAUUUGAUUCUUUACUAAAACACUUAAAAUACAAAAUUACCCUCAAAUACUUUAUUAUAUUACAUGAAUACUAAUAACAUUUAUAUUUUAUCAAAAACAACAUAUUCUUGUAAUCGAGAUUAAUAAUUAGUUAAAAUAUAAUUAUCAUAAUAAUUGUAAAAAAAAUGUUCUCUAUUUAUAUUUUAUAUGUAUAUAAAAAUACCCGAAUAUUCUUAUUAUCUCAAUAAUAAAUUAUAUUUCUUUUAUCUAGCUAUAAAAAAAUAUACAUUUCUUUUACAACCUUUAUAUUAUUAUAUAUUAAUAUAUUAAUGGGAGAAAAAUUAAAACUUUCACAAAUCUGUUUCAUUAAAAUAUUUUAUUACACUUCAUUUUAUUUUAAAAAAUUGUCAAAUGUCAUAUCAACAUACAUAAAAAAAUAUUUGGUAUGUUUAAUAUAUAAUUUUAUAUUAUUAUUUUUAUUUGAAAAAUUAAUUUGUAAAUAUUAUUAUAAUAACAUUUUAGGAACAAAAUUAUUUAAGUCGAAUUAGUUUGACAGUUAUAAUGGCGUCAUGUACUUUUUUGUCAUUAUAGUGAUAAACAGACCUUUUAUUUCCAAACACCUGAUUAACUUAUAAAAACUAAAAUUAACUUAUAAGUUACAUAUCCAAACACCUUAAAAAUUAAUUUUUAAAAUAAGAUCUAACAGCUUAUCAGCUCCUAAAACAUCUUAUCAGAUGUAGGAGCUUAUAAGAUGUUUUAAAUAAGCUUAGCCAAACGGGCUCUAAUAAAUGUCACUAAUUGUAGUACUGAUCAAUAAUCAUAAUCUUAAUUAUAAUUCUAAUACUAAUAUUAAUCAUAAUUCUAAUCCUAAUAUUAAUUCUAAUGCUAUAUUAACCUUAAUUACAACCUGAAUCUGAAUCCUAGUAUUAAUACUAAUACUAAUUCAAAGAAUAUUAAUUACAAUCCCAAUUCUAAUGCUAAUCUUAAUCACAGUCCUAAUUCUGAUUUUGCAUCAAUGUUUUUGCAAUUAUCUAUUAUUUUUUAUAAAAAAACAAUUAUAUUCAAUCUCGCAACUUUUAUAUCUAAUUCCUUAUGUGUGGUAAGUGAAACAUCAAGAAAUACAUAUUAAAUAUAUUAGAAAUUAAUAUUUAAUUAUAUUAUCAAGCAGAUAUUAAAAUUAUUUAAAAUAAUAUAAGGAUAUAAGCAAACGUUAAGACGUGAAAAGAACGAAUUGUUAUUAAUAGGAUAAAUUACGAAAAUCCUCAUGAACUUAGGCUAAAUCACAGAAAGCACCCCCACUUAUUGGUAAUUGCCAAAAUCCCCCAGAUGAUUGUUUGUCUUACACGACCCUCUUAUGGUGUGAUUUUUUAGGGAAUCUUUUUUAUUCCAUAAAAAAUUGUGGAUUCUACCCUUGCAGACGUGACAUUUCUUUUAUCUUACUUUUUAAAUACUAAAAUUACCCUUAUGGGAGGUAAUAGUAAUACUAAAAAGUUGUGAAGAUGUUAUUUAAGAAAAAUAAAUAUUUCGUGUAAAGUUCCCCCUCAGGGUAAUUUUUGUCUUUAAAAAGUACCAUAAACAAAUGUCGUGUGCAGGAUAGAAUCAACAUUUUUUGGGGAAUAUUCCACUUAAUAAAAAAAAUUGCGUGAACAAUCAUACCGUAAGGGGGUCGAUGUAAGACGGAAACAAACAUUAGGAAAAUUUUGGUAAUUACGAAUAUGAUAUUAAAUUAGUAAAAAAGAUAAACAUAUUCUUUGGUCAUGUUCAUGUAAAAUGUAUAAUAUCAAAUAAUUUAUUUUGCAAUAUUUUUUUAUAUAAAUUCAAGUUUAUGAAUUAAAAUACAAAAUUUUCGUAACACCAUCAAUCAUACAAUUAUAAUAAGUGAAGAUUUUAAAUUGAAUUUAAAUUAAAUUAAUUACUAUUAAAAUUAAAUUAAAAAAUAAAACUAUUUAAAGUUUCCAAGAAAGUUGAUAUAUUUAGAGCAUUUUAUAAAUGGUAUGACUAAAUAUAUAAUAAAAUAAUUUAAUAUCUUUUUAAUUUUGGAAAAUGGUGACAUGUUUUUUGAUGAUUUAUUUUCACCAAUUAAUUUGCCACAUGGGAUGAAAUUGAAUACAUGUCACCAAUUGAAAUUGACAAAUGUCAAUCAAUUAGGUGUGGAAUUCAACUUUUAUAUAUUAUAUAGAUUGUGCCUGGAAAAAAAAAACAGGGAUUGAAGUGGAGGAAAAGAAGGUUCCAAACUCAGAAAAGGAUUUGGUUUUGGAUGGAGGAUUUGUUUUGCCACAUGCCAAUUCUUUUGGCCAUAACUUUAGGUCUUUUUUUUCUCCUUCAAUAAUCAUUUAAUUAUGCACCUAAAACUUAAUAAAUAAUACUUAAAUUGAAACUAUUUGCUUCAAGAAUCUAAUUUAUGAUGAUUGAAUAUGGACUCAUCUAUGCCAUAAAUAUAACAUGGUUUCACUUUGAAUAAUUGAGGGAAAAUUACAGUUUUCGUCCCUCAAGUUUGCAGCAGUUUCAGAUUUGGUGUUCAUGUUCACAAAAAUUACAUCUGAUCCCUCAUGUUUUCAAUAAUUCAACACUUUUAACCUUUUUCCAUCAAUUAUUAAGGCAGUUAUAGUAACAGAAAAUUGAAGUAAAAAAUUAAAAGUGUUGAAUUUUUUAAACAUGAGGGUCAAACUUUUUUUUUGUUGAACGCGGAGGACUUAAUGGGAAAUUAGUGCAAACUCAAGGGACAAAAAUUGUAUUUUACAUAUUUGGACUUUGGACAAAAUUGACAAUUUAAUUAAUCCCUCAAGUCCAAAUAUUUUAUGGGCCUAAAUAUUUGUUUGGUCCAUAUCCCAAACAAGCCCUUCAAAAUUCUACAAUUUAUUUACUUUUUAUUUGCAAAUAAAUAUUCAGAAAUAUAUAUUAUUUCAAUAUGAAACAGAGAUUAUGAUGCUGAAAGUGAAAGGCAACAAGGGGUGGAGACUUUCUACAAAACCCAACACAUCCACCAAACCUAUGACUUUGUAAGUAAUAUUAUUCAAGAAAAUAUUUUUAUUUUUUUUUAUUUUUUUCAUUAAAUUAUUUUUUUUAUUUAAUAUUAAUUAACUAACAGGUGAAGAAAAUGAGAGGAGAAUAUGAUAAAUUGGACAAAGUGGAAAUGAGCAUAUGGGAAUGCUGUGAGCUACUAAACAAUGUUGUGGACGAAAGUGACCCUGAUUUGGAUGAACCUCAAAUUCAACAUUUGCUUCAGACAGCUGAAGCAAUUAGAAGAGAUUACCCUAAUGAAGAUUGGCUCCAUUUGACCGGUCUCAUCCACGGUACAUUGACUAAAAUACCCUUGUCAUUAAUUUUUUUUUUCGAUUUUCGAUCCAUUCCGUCUGAUUUCCGCCCCUAUAUUUAACAAAUGAUAUGGGCUAAUUGCAUGAUAUGUUGUUAAAAUUUGAAUUAAAUAACAUAAUUUAAUUUUAUAUAUUGGAAAAGAAUAAAUAUUAUAGAGGUGCAAAUUAAAGAAGCAUAAAAUUGAAGAGAAACGGAGAAUUCAACCAACCAGUAACCACCGUGCUCCACCACUUGUGUUGCCGGUUACUUCCAGUAUUUGAAAAAUUCCUCCUCCCACUUAUAAAUAUAUCUAUGAUAUAAACCUCAGAAAUCGAAAAAUAAAUUAACAUUUUUUUAAUGGCUUCUUUCACAAGUUUUUGUUUUGCCACUUUAUUCAUAACAUUGGCCAUCACAAGUUCUUCUCCGGCAGCCACCGUGGCGGCGGAGGAGUUCAAGAUUGGCAGCAGCCAGCGGCCAACGACACUGAAAUAUACACCCGGUGGGCCUCGACCAUGAGAUUUCACGUCGGAGAUUCUCUCCGUAAGUACUUUUUUCCUUUUUUUUUAGUAUAUAUAUAUAUAUAUAUAUAUAUAUAUAUAUGUCAAUAUGUGUAAUUGAUCUUCAUUAAUAUUUAUGUAACUAUUUAUUAUUGUAGCUUAAUUUAGUAAUAUAUUAGGAUUAGGAUUAGGAUUAGGAUUAGGGUGAAAUAGUAGAGUGUUGUUUUUAUAAUUCAUUAUCUAACUCUAUUCUAAUAGUACAAGUGAUAUUGAUGAUGCGUACAAUGAAAAAAACAAGGAAUUAAUUAAUUAAUUAAUGGUCAUGGUAUUAAUUGAAUCGAAUUAAAAAAGAUGAAUGGCACAGAACUAAAAUAAAUAAUCUCAAUUAAUAUCUGAGGCGAAGCUGUGGAUUGUGGCGGGAAAUGGAUUUCCAGGGUUGACCCUCCUUGUCCCCGUAGACUUGUUUCAGUUGUGUUGAAAAAAAAAUAUCCAACUCCUUCAAUGACGACAACGAAACCUUUUCCAGGAGGCGUUGCGGCAGCUCCGUCAAUCCCUCGCAGGAACGGAUAAUCAACUCCGUGAGGCAAGGCAUUAUUGAAUACUUUUCUUCUUCUUCUUCUUCUUGGGCAGUGGUGAUGUCCUCCCACUUGUUCCACUUUGGACACUUCCAAAAUGACAGUUUUUUUAACUUGGGAAAGCCACCAUCAAUAAUAUUAUUAGUACCCGAUGAACACGAAGAUGUUGUUGUUGUUGCUAUUCCCAGGAAUUCUCGUCCAACAUAUUCCAAUUCAUAUAAAUUAUCAAUCGAAAGAGUCUCCAGUAGCGGUAGUUUACCCAGCGGCGGCAGCGAUGUAAGGCCUUUACAAAAGUAGAGCCUAAUAUGUGUGAGUUGGUUGAGGGGGGACGUGAUCCAUCGUGGAAGUUGAGAGCCUUCAUACUGAUAAAUAAUCAGCUCUCGGAGGUUUGGAUAUGGUUUCAGAGCAUCUACCUGUUUGGAACCAUAACUAUGCAACACCUUCAAUGAUGAUGAAACCUUUCGCAUGAGGCGUUGCGGCAACUCCGUCAAUCUCCUGCAGUCACUGAUCUCCAACUCCGUGAGGCAAGGCAUUACUGAGAUAGCAACAUUAUCUUCUUCUUCUUCUUCCACCGUAAUGUCUUCCCACUUCUUCCAGUUGAUACAUUUCCAAAAUGUCAAUUUCUUCAACUUGGGGAAGCCACCAGCAAUAGUACCCAUCGAUGAAGAUGUUGCUAUUCCCAGGAAUUCCCGUCCAACAUAUUCCAAUUUAGAUAACCUUUUAAUCUCAAGAGUCUCCAGUAGCGGUAGUUUACCCAGCGGCGGCAGCGACACAAGGAAUUCACAAUUGUCCAGCUCAAUAGAUGUGAGUUGGUUGAGGGGGGACACAAUCCAUCCCGGAAGUCGGGAGCCGUAAUAGCCCUCAAUAGCCAGUUGUUGGAGGUUUGGAUGUGGGUGAAGAGCAUCUAGUACUUCAUUAGAAACCGAUGUUGACGACGAUGAUGAACUAGUAUCUUUCACCUGUUUGCCACGGCCAUCCGUUGUUGUUGCAGAUUCAUAGAAAUUUAUUCUCAGUUCUUGAAUGUGCAUCUUUUUCCCCAACUCCGCCUCUACUGAAUCACAACAACUGCUUAUUUCAAUCCACAUCUCCAGUUUCCCGCUAAGUCGGUUUAAAUUCUUCAACCACCCCACCUUAUUCCCAUCACAAGGAAGGACUUUAUUCAAUGUGACUAGACUCGUUAAUUCGGCUAUUCCUUGUGGAUAUUGCUUCAGAGAAUCAGUUGCUUCAUUAUACAAAUGUUUGAGCUUCUUCAGCCUGAGGAUCCCUUGUGGAGUCCACACAGACUCUCACACCNNNNNNNNNNNNNNNNNNNNNNNNNNNNNNNNNNNNNNNNNNNNNNNNNNNNNNNNNNNNNNNNNNNNNNNNNNNNNNNNNNNNNNNNNNNNNNNNNNNNNNNNNNNNNNNNNNNNNNNGGAAUUUCUUGUAGCCCGCACCAGUCCACCCAAAGAAAUUGCAAGUUAUACAACUUACAAAUGGACUUCAGAUCAUCACCGACAAAUUCAUUAUGACUCAAGUUCAACCACCUCAAGUGAAUCAAUUUUUCUAUUUCUUUCGGAAUGCCUUUUCAAACCACAACUUCUUAAUUCGAGCAACCUCACACUUGCCAGGCAAUCACAAACAUGUGGAUCAAGAACUUCUUCGCACUGACACAAGCUACGAUAUUUUUCGACUCGGGAAACUAACAAAUGGCUACAGUCUUUGCAAGUUGUGUUCUUCAUUCUUGAUCCCACAUUCUUCCUCAGGAAUUCAGCGAAAUCAUGUACAAUGUCAUGCAUCAUAAACGAUUCUAUCCUUAUAUCGUCAUCUUUCAUAUAAAAGUCUUGAAACAGAGAACGCAUUGCUAACUUAUCAAAGUACCCUCUCCCUCUAACUUUCCAGUCAUCAUCAGCAUUCGAUCCUAGGUAACCCAUUGCCAUCCAUCUUGUUAUUAGCUCAUCCACAUUAAUUCUGGUAUCUUUAGGAAAGACGGCACAAUACGAGAAGCAACGCUUCAAUGUUGGGGACAACUCGUUGUAACUCAGAAACAAAUGGCGAAAGAGGUCAUCUUCUACUUCCUCCAACUCCCAUAUUUCACUAUUCAACACGCUCUCCCACUCUUCCAAUGUAUUCUUGAAACGUAAGAGACUUCCCAAAGUCUUUGCUGCAAGCGGCAAUCCAUUGCACUUCUUUGUUAUCUUCUUACCCGUGUUCUCAAAUUCUUCACAUUCAUCCUUGUUCUUACCACAAAGGGCAAUCCGACGUAACAAUGACCAACAAUCUUCAUCAUUGAGAACUCCUAAACGAUGGAUCAUCUGAUCAUUCUUUAUAAACUCUCCCAUCAUCAUUAUUGCAACCCUUUCGUUUCUAGUUGUCACCAAAACUUUGCUACCCGUUCCACCACUUUUGAGAGUGUUUUUCAGGGGUUUCCACUUGGUAUCGUCUUCUGUCCAAACAUCAUCCAUAACAAGAAGAAACUUUUUCCCUGAAAUAGACUCUUUUAGACGUUGCAGUAGCAUUUCCAAUUGGUUGGUCUUUGGGGGUUCAUCCAACUUUUCCACACUUGCCACAAUCCCUUUCGCAAUCUCAUNNNNNNNNNNNNNNNNNNNNNNNNNNNNNNNNNNNNNNNNNNNNNNNNNNNNNNNNNNNNNNNNNNNNNNNNNNNNNNNNNNNNNNNNNNNNNNNNNNNNNNNNNNNNNNNNNNNNNNNNNNNNNNNNNNNNNNNNNNNNNNNNNNNNNNNNNNNNNNNNNNNNNNNNNNNNNNNNNNNNNNNNNNNNNNNNNNNNNNNNNNNNNNNNNNNNNNNNNNNNNNNNNNNNNNNNNNNNNNNNNNNNNNNNNNNNNNNNNNNNNNNNNNNNNNNNNNNNNNNNNNNNNNNNNNNNNNNNNNNNNNNNNNNNNNNNNNNNNNNNNNNNNNNNNNNNNNNNNNNNNNNNNNNNNNNNNNNNNNNNNNNNNNNNNNNNNNNNNNNNNNNNNNNNNNNNNNNNNNNNNNNNNNNNNNNNNNNNNNNNNNNNNNNNCAAAGCGUACCGUGCACUUAUUAGGAGGAACAACAUCAGCAUGAUCAGACGACGAUUGUUCGAUCUGAAACUUGAGAAUGGAGUAGUUCCAUUCGUCCAACACGUCAUCCAUUUCAUAGGUCGUGUUUUCGAGCCACGUCAGCCAAUCUUUGAUGCUCUUUUCCUUAUAACCCUUCUUCUCCGCAUCUUCCAACACGUUUCUGACUGUGUUCAGAUCAACGGAAAGUUUGAGAACCUCCUUCUUAACUCCUCUCACCAAAUUUACUUCGUCUCGGAUCUUCUCUUCCACGAGAGCUGCAAUGCGCUCCAACACAACGGAAACGAUAGCAUCCGCCAUGAGUUUUUUUUUUUCCUUUUUUCUUUGUGAAUUAUAUGUGUGUAUAUUAUUCCUUUGUGAUGGUAUAUAGAAUGAACCAAUAAUUGAUAAGGUGGAGAAAAUAUGCAGAAAUAAAGAUGAACAAAGACACAAAAGUUUUGUGAUUGAUCAAUUUCCAUGCCCCCACUUUUACUUUUGUAAAUUGCACACAGCUAGCUGUGGGACAACAAUUAUUGCUCAAACUUUCAAUUUUUUUUUUGCGUUUUAUUUCUCACAUAUAUUUUCAGUUUUAAUUGCAUGUUAGCUUCAGACUUCAGUUUAAAUUAAUGUAUUUAAAGUUUUAAAUUUUCAAAGAUAUAUUUUUAUUAUGCAGGUAAACCUCUAUAAAUUAAUUAAUACAGUGGUGACUAGGAAAAUUUUAUUAAUUUAGCGAAUUAUUAAAUUAUCGAGUUAAUAAUUUAGCAUGUUCUGACCGAGUCGGGACCGAGAGAAACUAUUAUUUAAGUGAGGUUAUUAAUUUAUCGAGUAUUAAUUUAUCGAGGUUCUACUGUAUUAAAAUUAUUAUUUAGUAUACAAUUUAGGGUAAAUUACAAAAAAAAAAAAAAAAAAAAAAAAAAAAAAAAAAAAAACUGAACUUAGGGUAAAUAACGAAAAAUACCCCCACCUAUCCGAACCAAAAUCCCUUUAUGAUUAACUAUUGAUCGAGUUUUUUUUAACAAAAAAAAAAUGUGUACAAUCUAUUAUACUAUAUGUUAAUUAAUAGUUGAGAAAUAAAAUAAAAUAUCUGAAAUCGUGUAAAGUCUAUUCCCUGCCUGGAAUAAAAAAAAAAUCCGUGAAAAAUCACACUGUAAAAAGUUUGUGUAAAACAUAAACAAAUUUCAGGGGGUUUUUAAUAAUUACGAGUAGGUGAAGCGUUUUUUGUUAUUCAACCUAAGUUCAGGGGAGUUUUCAUAAUUUAUCUCGAAGGUAUUACAUAUAGAAGUAAUAAGAAUAAUUUGAGACUUCGUUUUAUUUCAUCAUAUUUUGUAACUGAAUAAAUAUAUUUUCCAGUUAAUAAUUAAAUGAAGAAUAAUUGGUUAGGUUGGAGAUACAUGCACCCACUUUUACUUUUGUAGUAAAACUUUACAGCAGUAGGUGGGACGAGACGAUUGCUCCCAGACCUACUAGUCAAACUUUAAAAGUUAAUGGGGUCACAAUUCUAAUUAUUAAUGUUUUUAAAAAAAGAUUUAAGGGUAAAUUACGGCCGCCCUCCUAACUUAUGGUAAUUACGAAAAUCCUCCUCAUGUUUUGGGUAAUUGUAGUAUCGAACCGUCUCAGGUUCGAGAAUCGCCGCAUUCUAUUCGUGAGGAAGAAUUUCUUGGACAAUACACGGCCGCGACCACUUUGAUUUGCGCUUCCUUGGAAAUAACCAAAGACGGGAUUUGCACAAUAAUACUAAUUGUCCUUUGUGCAAUUCCUUUUUGAUUUUCUCCUUACGACCACAAUAGCUUGACUCAUCCUUCUCUCGUGACUUGCUCGAGUCUUUGGGUGGUAACAUCUUCCUUGCAUUCUCAUCGUCGUUAAGACUCAAACUCGUAUGACUUUCUCUCGGAUGAGUUGAAAUUGAGUCCAUGAAGUAAACUUGCUCCUUCCGAUUUUCGUUUCCGCCAUCAUCUCCUGUACUCAAAGAUGCUUUCUCAUUGUCCAAGAUCGAAACAUCAAAUUUUUCAUUAUUUGUAAAAUCCAUAAGCUCAAUAUCAAAACAAUCAUUAUUAUCACAUGGAUUUUUAUUAACACUAAAAACAUUGAAUUUGAUUGUUUGAUCAUGCACAGUCAUUGUAAGAUCACCACUAGCACAAUCAAUGAGAGUUUUCGACGUGGCUAAAAACGGUCUCCCUACGAUAAGAGGUAUCUCCCUAUCCUCAUCUAUAUCUAGUAUCACGAAAUCAACAGGGAAGAUAAAUUUAUUGACUUUCACUAGCACAUUCUCUAAAAUACCUUUUGGGUAAACUAAAGAUCUAUCGGCUAAUUGAAGAGUUAUAGCCGUCGGUUCAAUUUCUCCUAACCCAAGAUUUUUAAAGGUUGAAUAAGGCAUAAGAUUAAUGCUAGCGCCUAAAUCAAUGAGCGAUCUAAAAUUUUUACCUCCUAUAGUACAAGGAAUAGUAAACUUACCUGGAUCGCCGAGUUUUUGUGGAAGAGGCCGAGUAAGAAUUGCACUAAUUUGCUCUGUGAGUUGGAUCAUCUCGUUCCCUUGCAAUUUCUUACUUUUUUUCACGAGGUCCUUGAGGAACUUCACCCACUUUGGCAUCUUUUGAAGUGCUUCAAUGAAAGGAAUAUUUAUGCGAAUUUCCUUCAACUUGUCCAAAAAUCUUUGAUAUUCAACAUCGAGCUUCUUCUUUACAAAUUUUUGAGGAUAAGGAAUUGGAGGGACUUGUGAAGGCACCGUUGAUGGUGGCUCUUCAUGAGUUGAUUCUUUUUCCUCAUUCACUUUCGGCUUCUCGAUUACCGUGGUUCUCUUCUCUUUUUGUGGGGCUUCCUCCAAUUUCUUGCCAUUCUUCAAGGUGACUGCUUGGCACGUCUCGACCUCGAUCUUUUUCGUUAGCAAUCUUUGUGGAUAUGGGAUUGGUUCGACCCAUUCGGCUACAGUGACUUGCGGCUUGAUUUGAAUUUCUUCCCUUUUUUCGCUCGUGACAUCGAUAGCUUGGCACGUCUCGAACUUUUGAUUUCGAGGAUCUUCCGUAUUCGAUGGCAAUGCUCCCGGCGGGCGGUUCUCUUGCUUCAAAGCAAAUUGAGCGAAUUGAUUUUCUAAAUUCUGCAGCGAAGCUUGGGUAGCAGUCAUGAAUUGGGCCAAUAUCUCCUCCGUGCUUGAUUUUUGGGCCGGUGUAUUGUUGCCUUGAUAGCUUUGUUGAGGAGGAGCUUGAUUUUGGAAUUUACCUUGAGGUCUUUGAUACCCUUGGCCUUGUUGAUUUCCUCCAUAUUGCCCUUGUGAUCUCCACCCUUGAUUUUGGAAUUGGCGAGGUGCAUUGUUGACGUAGUUGAGCGACUCCGCAUCUUGUUGGCAUUGGAGCGUGUAGUGAUUUCCACCGCAAAUUUCACAACAUGGAGACUCAACGGCUUGGACUUGUUGUGGUGGACUUGCUUUGAUGUGCUGCAGAAGGAGUUGAUUUUGUUGAGCAAUUUGGGUCACUUGAGCUUGAAGGGCCGUAAUUGCAUCUAACUCCAACACUCCGGGAACUUUCUUGGCUCCACUAACCGCCCUCUCGCUCGACUUGGCAAACCGAUUUUGUGCAAUUUGAUCCAACAUGAUGAAAGCAUCCGGUAUCGAUUGACUCAUAAAAUUUCCCCGGUUGAUGCAUCUAAGACCGUUCGUGCAUUCUCGUUAAUCCAUUGGUAGAAGAUGUGGAUUUGCCGCCAUUGUUCGACUCCGUGUGUUGGACACUGCCGCAAAAGAGUUUUAAAUCUCUCCCAUGCCUCGUAUAAUUGCUCGCCUUGCUCUUGGAAAAAAAUAUGAAUUUCUCGUCGGAUUCUCUCGUCCUUCUCGGGUGAGCUGUAAACUUUCAUGAAAAGGUUGAGGAGUUGAGACCACGACGAGAUAGAGUGGGGGGCUUGGGACAUCAACCACUGGCGAGCUCUUCCUUGUAAGGAGUGUUUGAAGAGGAUCAAUUGUAGCGCCUCUUGGGAAACGCCGUUUUGACGGUGAGAAUUACAGGUAUCUAGAAAAUUGACAAUGUGAAGAUGGGAUCUUCACCCGCCAACCCACUAAAUAGCCCGUUAUUUUGGAGCAUCGUCAAAAGGCCUUGCUUGAUCUCAAAAUUGUGCGCCUCAAUGGGUGGAUAUUGGAUGCUAGGGCGGAAUCCGUCAUGAGUCGGGAUUAUGUAAUCUUGAAGUGCCCGUGGCCUAACUGCUGGUUGUGCUGGAAGUUGAGGGGGUGGGUCUUGGACUUGGUUUCCGUUGGCCCCGAGUAAAUUACCCGCUGCCCUGCGUUCUUCGUCCUCCAUUAUAUUGUUUGUGCGUUGAAGUCUCCUAGCCGCUCGAAAAGUACGUUCGAUUUCGGGAUCAAACGGUUCUCUAGCAAGAUCGAGUCUUCUACGCAUACACAGUACCUAAAAAGAAAAAUAAAAUAAAACAAAAAUUAAAUGGGUGAAUCGUGAAAAUUGUUCAAAUCUAGAGCUAGAAUAAAAUAAAUAAUUAAAAUAAUCCCCCGCAACGGCGCCAAAAACUUGUUGGUCGAAAACCUACACGCAAGUGCACGUAUCGUACAAGUAAUAUAGUGGACAAUUAAGUCCGGAUAUCGAACCCACAAGGAAUAUUUAAUUAUCUAAUCAUAGACGCUAAAUUCUACCAAUUAUUAUCAAGCCCACCCUACACAGUCGAAUAAGGAUUAAUAAACUAAAUUAAAAACAAGCAAAAACAAGAAAACAAUUUAAAACGAAGAUUAAUCAAAGUAGACAAGCCUAGGAUUUUAUUCUUCCCCCUAUGUGAUUAUUACUCCCCCAAUUCCUUCAAUUAUGCAAGCAAUUAACCCGGAUUAUUAACCUGAGAUGCUAAAAUAAUCAUAACCCGCUUCCGCGUGUAUUACAAUUCUAAUACUCUAGAUUCAAUUACUAUAUUCAUAUGCAAUUAAUUCUAGAACACAGCAUUAAACACAAAUCUCAAUAAUGGCUACCUAAGAGAUUAACUAUAUUCCUAUGUUAAUACCACAAAGGCUCUUUUACCACAGUUCUAAUUAUUAACCCGAUCUUCCGAUUCAUUCGAUUAACAAUAACAUAAAAGCACAUAAAGUGGCCAGUUUCAUGAACUUAAUAAAACAAGAAGAAGAAAUAAUCCGGAAUUAAAACUUGCAUAAAAUCAUAGAAUUGGGUUCAUAAAUCCCACAUAGGGUUCCAAAUAAAAUCCUAGAAAUAAGUAGUUUAGCUACUCUUGAUUAAAUCAAAAACGCAAAUAAAAUAAAUCAUAGACGAUAAAUAUUUGCUUGGAGUCUUCGAAUUCUUCGUCUUUGUUAUUGCUUUGUGGCUCUUGAAAUUGCGUAAAAAGAUCCCCAAUUGUGUGCUUGGAUUGGUCUUAUAUAGGGUGAAGAACUUGGGGAAGAAGGCAGUUUCCUUGUGCAAUUAAAAUCCCUUUACUGCGCAACUUCGGGGUAUGGGACGGGGGUCCCAUAAUUUGCACUAAAACUGGGACGGGGGUCCGAGCCUUGUUUCUUCAGAAUUUUGAUAUUUUCACUUUUGACCCAUAUUUUCGCCAAAAUUGCAGUUUUGACCCAUACUUUUCCAAUUCUUCAAUUUGUACCUAAAAUACAAUAAAUCAACUUUUUAAGCACCAAUUAUCAUUAAAACACACCAAAAGCCCAAAUAAAAAGGUACGAUAAAGUGUAAAAAUAUACACUUAACAACAACUCCUAUAUUUUGGGGUGCAAACUGUAUUUAAUCCUUUUGUAAAUCAUAUCGGAUAUUGAUCUGGACAAAUACUGGAUCAUGGUCAAAAAUCUGGUUUUAUGAGUUAUAGUUUUACGGUGCAACCGGUCCAAAACUCAGAGUUUUCAGUAAAAUCCGAUUUUUUGUAAUUUACCGUUUUGUAGCUCACAAACAGGACCAGGCGGUCUGGGCUAGGCAAUAGUACAUUGUCCAACGGUUGAGUCGGGCCUGUCCGAUUCGAGUUUCAAAAACAUUGAAAUUUUGAUUUUUCAAAAAUUAGAAUACUAUAAGAUGAGAUUGGAUUAUGUUAAAUUAGAGAUUACAAGGCAUUUAGUGUCAUAUAUAACUAUUAAUGCUAGUUUUUAAUAAUCUAACUAACUAUAAUGUAAGGAAUUAGUAUUAUCCAAACUUAUUAAAAAUGUAUUUAUUUUAGAAAAUACGAGAAAACCCGACCCGAAUUUCAUUUUAUCCGAAGCCCAGCCCACCAAAACUCAAACCCNNNNNNNNNNNNNNNNNNNNNNNNNNNNNNNNNNNNNNNNNNNNNNNNNNNNNNNNNNNNNNNNNNNNNNNNNNNNNNNNNNNNNNNNNNNNNNNNNNNNCAAACCCAAACCCGUAUCCCACAUUCCUGCAAAAUUUCUCACCUCCACUCCAUCCAUCCAACUCGCCGUCCAUUUCCAUCGGAGAAGCCACCGCUAAUUUCUCCGGCGACCGGCGUGGCUCAACCAAUUUGUGGAGAAGCUAUACCGUAGUGACUGUAUACCCAAUAGCAACAACGCCGAUGAUUCCACCCGCGGCGGCGAACCCGGCGUUAGAUGGCGGUGCGCCUCCGCCACCACAGAUGGUGGCUCCACCUCCUCCGGGUACAGACAUGACCGGAAUCUGCUUCCGCGAUCAGCUGUGGCUCAACACUUACCCACUUGACCGAAACCUAGUUUUUGAUUACUUCGCUCUCUCCCCAUUCUACGAUUACUCGUGCAAUAACGAGCAGCUUCGUCUCCGCGCAACUCACCCCCUCGAUCUCUCCC